rnacentral:rRNA from 1 species
ACUCCUACGGGAGGCAGCAGUGGGGAAUAUUGCACAAUGGGGGAAACCCUGAUGCAGCCAUGCCGCGUGUGUGAAGAAGGCCUUCGGGUUGUAAAGCACUUUCAGUAGGGAGGAAGGUAGUGUAGUUAACACCUGCACUAUUUGACGUUACCUACAGAAGAAGCACCGGCUAACUCCGUGCCAGCAGCCGCGGUAAUAUGGAGGGUGCGAGCGUUAAUCGGAAUUACUGGGCGUAAAGCGCAUGCAGGCGGCCUGUUAAGUCAGAUGUGAAAGCCCGGGGCUUAACCUCGGAAUUGCAUUUGAAACUGGCAGGCUAGAGUCUUGUAAGAGGGGGGUAGAAUUUCAGGUGUAGCGGUGAAAUGCGUAGAGAUCUAGAAGGAAUACCAGUGGCGAAGGCGGCCCCCUGGACAAAGACUGACGCUCAGAUGCGAAAGCGUGGGGAGCAAAC